UACGUAGGGUGCAAGCGUUGUCCGGAAUUAUUGGGCGUAAAGGGCUCGUAGGCGGUCCAUCACGUCGGGAGUGAAAAGCUGGGGCUUAACCCCAGUCCUGCUUCCGAUACGGGUGGACUAGAGGUAGGCAGGGGAGAACGGAAUCCUGGUGGUAGCGGUGAAAUGCGCAGAUAUCAGGAGGAACACCGGUGGCGAAGGCGGUUCUCUGGGCCGUUACCUGACGCUGAGGAGCGAAAGCGUGGGGAGCAAACAGG
rnacentral:rRNA from 1 species